GAUGGAGAACGUAGCGAAAUGCGAUAAGUAGUGUGAAUUGCAGAAUUCAGUGAAUCAUCGAAUCUUUGAACGCACAUUGCGCCCCAUGGUAUUCCGUGGGGCAUGCCUGUUCGAGCGUCAUUUACCCCCUCAAGCUCCGCUUGGUGUUGGGCGUCUGUCCCGCUUCGCGCGCGGACUCGCCCCAAAGGUAUUGGCAGCGGUCGUGCCAGCUUCUCGCGCAGCACAUUGCGCUUCUCGAGGCACCGGUGGGCCCGCGUCCAUCAAGCUCACCCCCCCAGUUUGACCUCGGAUCAGGUAGGGAUACCCGCUGAACUUAAGCAUAUCAAUAAGCGGAGGA
rnacentral:misc_RNA from 1 species